UCCAACGCCGAAUUUAGAGGGCGACAACGACGAAGGCGAGGAAAAUCAGCAACAACACUCGGUAUUGGAAACAAGCGAGGUUCUUGGCGUUGGAGAUCAGAGCUUGCUCGCUUGCUCGUCCCCCUUACCGGCAACCAAACGCAAAGGAAAGCGGACACAGGAUGCACUUUUCCUCGAGACCGUCCAGGCGUUGGAGGACCAG